UGUACAAGGGGCCUUACCGUUUACGUUUGAAGUUGUAAUAACGAGAAAAUAUAUUUUAGGUGCGUCAGCGCGAGCAAGAGGUGCUGAUGAAGUGGAUCCAGACCGUGAAGCAGCAAUGGGAAUUUUGCAUAGUCAGCUCAAAGCGAAAGGUGGCGAAACCUUCUACAAGCAACCCCACACGGAACUUUCCCAUGCACAGGCAUCAGAGUGGUGACGUAUUCAAUCAACGCAUAUCUUAUUAAAAACUGAGUACCAUUAACCACAGUAUAAA